UGUCCUUCUUGAGUACACUUGAAGUGGGCGGAAUGUGUCAUGUAGCGGUGAAAUGCUUAGAUAUGACACAGAACACCGAUCGCGAAGGCAGCUCACUAAUGUGUAACUGACGCUCAGGCACGAAAGCGUGGGGAUCAAACAGGAUUAGAUACCCUGGUAGUCCACGCUGUAAACGAUGAUCACUCGAUGUUGGCGAUAUACUGUCAGCGUCUAAGCGAAAGCAUUAAGUGAUCCACCUGGGGAGUACGGCCGCAAGGUUGAAACUCAAAGGAAUUGACGGGGGCCCGCACAAGCGGAGGAGCAUGUGGUUUAAUUCGAUGAUACGCGAGGAACCUUACCUGGGCUAGAACGCUGGACGAUCGUCCGGGAAACCGGAUUUCCCUUCGGGGCGACCAGCGAGGUGCUGCAUGGUUGUCGUCAGCUCGUGCCGUGAGGUGUCGGGUUAAGUCCCAUAACGAGCGCAACCCCUAUCAUUAGUUGCCAUCAGGUCAUGCUGGGAACUCUAAUGAAACUGCCUACGCAAGUAGUGAGGAAGGCGGGGAUGACGUCAAAUCAGCACGGCCCUUACGUCCAGGGCUACACACGUGCUACAAUGGCCGGUACAGAGGGUCGCUACCUGGUGACAGGAUGCUAAUCUCAAAAACCGGUCUCAGUUCGGAUCGAAGUCUGCAACUCGACUUCGUGAAGUUGGAUUCGCUAGUAAUCGUACAUCAGCAAUGGUACGGUGAAUACGUUCCCGGGCCUUGUACACACCGCCCG
rnacentral:rRNA from 1 species